rfam:Ipomoea nil DNA, scaffold: scaffold0980, cultivar: Tokyo-kokei standard.
UCGAGAAGAGCCUAUCGGGUAGCCAAGGGAAACUGCCUAGCAAACCAAACACGAACGCGUUUUGGAAGAGCGCUAGGCAAGUCAUCCUUGGCUACUAAACGAGGCGUUUCUCU